UAUAAUGGGUCAGCGACUUAUAUUCUGUAGCAAGGUUAACCGUAUAGGGGAGCCGCAGGGAAACCGAGUCUUAACUGGGCGUUAAGUUGCAGGGUAUAGACCCGAAACCCGGUGAUCUAGCCAUGGGCAGGUUGAAGGUUGGGUAACACUAACUGGAGGACCGAACCGACUAAUGUUGAAAAAUUAGCGGAUGACUUGUGGCUGGGGGUGAAAGGCCAAUCAAACCGGGAGAUAGCUGGUUCUCCCCGAAAGCUAUUUAGGUAGCGCCUCGUGAACUCAUCUUCGGGGGUAGAGCACUGUUUCGGCUAGGGGGUCAUCCCGACUUACCAACCCGAUGCAAACUACGAAUACCGAAGAAUGUUAUCACGGGAGACACACGGCGGGUGCUAACGUCCGUCGUGAAGAGGGAAACAACCCAGACCGCCAGCUAAGGUCCCAAAGUCAUGGUUAAGUGGGAAACGAUGUGGGAAGGCACAGACAGCCAGGAUGUUGGCUUAGAAGCAGCCAUCAUUUAAAGAAAGCGUAAUAGCUCACUGGUCGAGUCGGCCUGCGCGGAAGAUGUAACGGGGCUAAACCAUGCACCGAAGCUGCGGCAGCGACACUAUGUGUUGUUGGGUAGGGGAGCGUUCUGUAAGCCUGCGAAGGUGGCCUGUGAGGG
rnacentral:rRNA from 1 species